rnacentral:rRNA from 1 species
UACAGAGGUCUCAAGCGUUGUUCGGAUUCAUUGGGCGUAAAGGGUGCGUAGGUGGCGCCAUAAGUCAGGUGUGAAAUCUCGGGGCUCAACCCCGAAACUGCACUUGAUACUGUGGUGCUCGAGUACUGGAGAGGAGAUUGGAAUUUACGGUGUAGCAGUGAAAUGCGUAGAUAUCGUAAGGAAGACCAGUGGCGAAGGCGAAUCUCUGGACAGUUACUGACACUGAGGCACGAAGGCCCAGGGGAGCAAAACGGGG